GACAAUAAAUGAUAAACAUGAAGACUUUAGAGACCAAAUUAUGAUGAUUUAGAUAUUUUCUAUUGGACAUUUUGUGUCCCUUUCUCUCUCCCCUUCGCACGCCUCAUCCAUUCCUUCUUCAUCGUGCGAAACCUCUCUCUCUUUCUUUGCAACCCACCGAACCAGCUGAUCUCACUUUCCUUUCAUUUGCUUCUUUUGUUUCUCUCUUUCAUUUUACUUCAAGCACCCCACGUGAGUCAACAUCCUUGCAAGUGGAGCUCUUUUGUUGACCCCUUUCCCCCACGCGUCCAGCAGCAGGUGAGCACAUCUCACCGAAGACCCAAGGCCCCCGUUCUCCACCUUCGCUUCUCUUCAUUUGCUCAAAGCCUCCACCGAACGUUUGUCAGCCCACAUCCCUCGAAGCCACGCAUCCAGUCAACCCCCGAAGCCUUUGUUGACCACAAAUCUCCACCGAGCAGCUCCUUCGGCGUCCAUCUUUUCCAGCUCGUGUCUUGUUCGGUCUCCACCAGCUCGCCAGCAGCCAGCUUCAACCGUCGAUGCUGCUUCUCUCUCUUUGCUGCCCGUUCAUCCGAUGUCUCUCGCACGAAGCAGCCCCAUUCCUCGCGCUUCAGCCCAUAGCUCGGCAAUUUCAGCAACCCAGCACGCUGUAGCAAGCCCAGUCUGCAUCUUCACGGCCCAUGCUAGGGGUGAGCAGCGGUCUAGGGUCGACCCUGGACCGACCCUGGACCGGCCCAACCCUGCUGGUCCUGGUCCGGUUCCUAAGGGGACUGGGUCGGUCCUUGGUCCUGAAAUUCCAGGACCAACACUGUGCGGGUUGGUCCUCAGUCCUAAGAGUUUUGAGUCGGUCCAACCCUGGACCAACCCUGUAUAUUAUAUUAUAUUAUAUUAUAUUAUUUAUAAUUAUUUUAUAUAUUCAAACCUAAGUAAAAUGUAUGUUAUAUUAUAUUAUAGCACUAAUAGUAAUUUCAAUUUAAAACUUUUGUUGAGUAUUAAUUAAGUGUCGUUUGUUUUGUUUUAAGGUGUUUAGAAGUUCAAGUGAAUUAACAAGAUGUGAAGUUAUAUAUUCAUGGUUUAUAUUAAGUAUUUUGAACUUUUUAUGGUUUAAUUGUAUUUUACUAAUGAAUUUCAACUGCACUUUGCUUUUCAAUUUGUGUCAAAUGAUAGAAGUUUUUGAAGAGUAGAGUAGUACUGCAGUUGCUACGGUAAUUUGCUAGUCAAGUGGUGUGAAGCUCAUUUUUUGGUUGAAUGGACUCUACAUGAUCAAAUGCAGGAAAACGCUUUUGCAUAUGGUGUUAUGAAUAUUAAAGAUAGAUGAUUACAAGAACAUUCCAUCUUGUCCCAUAUUUCGAUGAGCGGUUAGCAGGUGCAAAAUUUCUAUUAUUGUGUCAUCUUAAAUUUGCUAAAUAUGUAUUGGUAUUUAUAGUUUAGUUGCACAAUGUUGCAUUGUCGAUAGAUGUGUAAUUUGAAUUUGUAGGUUUGCUUUUUUAGGGAGUAUAAAAAAUAAGACGAAAAAAAUUAUCGAUCGGUCUCGGGUUGACCCUGGAACCGGACCGAACCCAUUGGGUCGGUCCGGUCCUUGGUCCCAGGCUCAAUAGGGUCGGUCCUCGGUCCUAAAAAUUGAGGACCGACACUGUACGGGUUGGUCCUAGGGUUAGGAGGUGGCCCGGACCAUGCUCACCCCUAGGCCCAUCUCCUCCAGCCCGCGAAAUUUGCAGCUCCAAUCCAGCCCACAGGUUCAGUUAAGCCCAUCUUCAGUUGGAUCCAAGCCUUCAGCAAGCCCGCAUAGUUCAGUCCAUUAAAGCUAGCAAAGUAGGCCCAAACCGCGGCUCAACUCAAGCCCAGAUCAGCCCAGCUUUGAAGCCCACUUGAAGUCCAGCCCAAAUCCAGAACAAAUCUCAGCUUGGACUGAGAUUUGUUGAGCCAAUUUCAGGCCCGGUCCAAACUCGUGGGUGUCAUCAUGAGCCCAAGUUCGGCCGCCGUCGCACCAUCGUCGCGGUGAACCGGUUUCCG
rnacentral:lncRNA from 1 species